UGCUUCUAACAAGUGCAAUUCUGAAGAAAAGAAAAGCAAACUUCAGUGCCAUCUGGCCUCAUUGGUUUUCAUGACUUUGUGCAUGUUAAACCCGGUAUUUCUAUUGAUAUGGUA
ensembl:snoRNA